GAUUGUAACUCUGCCAAGGUACCCUGAUAUGCAAGAUUACCUGUUAUUAAACCGUUCAAAUUAAAUUAAUCAUUCAGAAAAAGUACGUAACAAUGAGAGUGUGUUUGUUGGUUACUAGUCUAUUUAUUUAUUUAGCUGUUGGGAUUCCAGUGACAGAUAUUCAAUUUGAUACACGCCGGUUACUCAUGGAUAUCAAUAAGAUUCUUCCUAAUGCUCGGGCUUGUUCCAGCUGGUUUCCACAAAACAGCAUCUACUGUACUACAACAAGUCAACCUGAUGAGUCAACAAAUAUAUAAAAACAUUUUUCUCAGUUUUCUGCAAGAAAAUAAAAGUUAUUUACUUAAAUAGA